AGGGCCGAAACCCCAGUCCCGGUUUCACAAACCGAGGGAAGCCGCUGCAGGGUGCCUGCCCCCAAAAUUCUGGGUUAAAAUGCAAAUAAAGGCGUAAAGCAGCCGGGGACGGGCCGUUGGCCAUGCGGUCGCCGUAGGGCAGGACAGGGCAGGACGGGACGGCCGUGCCCUGAGCACACGAGCAAGGAAGCUGGGCUGCAGCUGGUGACCCGACCAUCCCAAGGAGACAAACGUUACAUCUAAAGGCAAAUCUUGGAAAAAAAAAUGAGUCCGUCGUUCCUGUGGUGGAGCGGUCCCACAGAUGCCUCAGGACCGUAAGGAUGGACCCAACAAAUCAGACGAACAAAGGUGUGCGGAGCAGUCCGUCAUUAGCUGCUUGGCCCACGAGAUGCUGGGAGUACCUAACUGCAGCCCCUCGUUUGGGACCACCUCGACCACCUUCGUCGUGACAGCUAACCGGACACACGAACCUUCAAAGUACGUUGUGCCAAAGUCUUUGUGGUUAAUGAGAGAGCCAAGCAAGACAUUGGAUUUGAAACAAAAUGCAUGGUGCAGAUCGCUACAGUGGGAAGAGACCCUGGCGUCAGAGCACAGACCCGGUUAUUGGGAAAAUGGAUUUAAAAUAUGGAGCUAAUCCUGUCUGCAAUAUCUGCAGCCCCCAAGUCACUGGAGCGAUGUACCCGCAUUUCAUCAGGAAACAGCGGACAAAGCUGGAUCUUCUCAGGAACCGUAAAUACGUCGAGACACCAGGACCUGGAGCAUAUGAUGUAGAGAGGGGCUAUCGAGCUUGCUUACCCAGCUCCCCCAGCAUCACCAUUCAAGGAGUCAGGAGACCCAAGAGACAUGAAACCGGUCCCUUUACAACUCUUUGAAAUGGAGAGAACCAAAGGAUUCCACUCCUAAUCAAAGGGCUUGCUCCUCUUCUAUGGUGAGAAAUGCACAAAAGUUCAUGUCAUUCUAGGGUGUACUUGUCCUGGUCACCAAAAAAAUCCUGCCUCUGCUUCAAGGCAGAAAAAAAAGCUGAGCAAAGGAUCCCAUCUGUCUACAACAGAAAAACUCACAAAUUCACCUAAGUUGGAUGUUCCUAGUGUUGGCUAAAUGCCAGGCCACGCUCCACACCAUCAGGCACAAAUACUGAGCGAAGAGCUAUGGACUUAACAAAGCCACGUGUAGGAUUUUAUUUCUAACAGGGACAGAGCAUUUUCAUCCCACAAGCACACACAGCUACUCUUAACUCAGUUAUGUGGACAGGCAACCUUGGGCACAGCAGCGCACCUGGCUGUGCUGGCUCAGGGGAAGGGGGCCCCAUUACAACCCCACUUACCCUGAUGAAGGGCACUACCUGUAGCUGCUGGAGCCGUGCAUCUGGCACUGCAAGAGCUCACACUUCACACAGGACAGAUUAGCAGUGUUUGCCCUCUGCACCACAUGGGAAUGUUUGCUCAAGGCAACUCUACUUCUGUAAGCUCUGUAUUGCUGCAAGGAAAUGAUCUCGGAAAUGUGCACCCUACAGCUUCCAGUUCAUGUAAGAACCAUCACACCUUGGUACCCACCUUG